rnacentral:rRNA from 1 species
GAUGAACGCUGGCGGCGUGCCUAAUACAUGCAAGUCGAGCGAACAGACGAGGAGCUUGCUCCUCUGACGUUAGCGGCGGACGGGUGAGUAACACGUGGAUAACCUACCUAUAAGACUGGGAUAACUUCGGGAAACCGGAGCUAAUACCGGAUAAUAUAUUAAACCGCAUGGUUCAAUAGUGAAAGACGGUUUUGCUGUCACUUAUAGAUGGAUCCGCGCCGCAUUAGCUAGUUGGUAAGGUAACGGCUUACCAAGGCAACGAUGCGUAGCCGACCUGAGAGGGUGAUCGGCAACACUGGAACUGGGACACGGUCCAGACUCCUACGGGAGGCAGCAGUAGGGAAUCUUCCGCAAGGGGCGAAAGCCUGACGGAGCAACGCCGCGUGAGUGAUGAAGGUCUUCGGAUCGUAAAACUCUGUUAUUAGGGAAGAACAAAUGUGUAAGUAACUAUGCACGUCUUGACGGUACCUAAUCAGAAAGCCACGGCUAACUACGUG